rnacentral:rRNA from 1 species
GUCUACGGCCAUGCUACCCUGAAGAAGCCCAAUCCCGUCUGAUCUCAGAAGCUAAGCAAGGUUGGGCUUGGUUAGUAUUUGGAUGGGAGACCACCUAGGAAGACCAGGUGCUGGAGGGG